GACAGAGGUGCCAAGCGUUAGGCGGAAUCACUGGGCUUAAAGCGUGUGUAGGCGGAUCGUUAAGUACCUUGUGAAAUCCCCCGGCUCAACCGGGGAACUGCUGGGUAUACUGGCGAUCUUGGGCCACUCAGGGGCAGAUGGAACAGACGGUGGAGCGGUGAAAUGCGUAGAUAUCGUCUGGAACGCCAAAGGUGAAAACAGUCUGCUGGGGGUGUGCCGACGCUGAGACACGAAAGCCAGGGGAGCGAACGGG
rnacentral:rRNA from 1 species